rnacentral:rRNA from 1 species
UCGCUACUACCGAUUGAACGGCUUAGUGAGUUUUACGGACCGGGGCUGGUGGUGGGUUUCCAUCACCAUGCUCUGUGGAAGUAAUGCAAACUUGGUCGUUUAGAGGAAGUAA